rnacentral:rRNA from 1 species
CCUACGGGAGGCAGCAGUGAGGAAUAUUGGUCAAUGGUCGGGAGACUGAACCAGCCAAGCCGCGUGAGGGAGGAAGGUACAGAGUAUCGUAAACCUCUUUUGUCAGGGAACAAAGGCGGGGACGUGUCCCCGGAUGAGUGUACCUGAAGAAAAAGCAUCGGCUAACUCCGUGCCAGCAGCCGCGGUAAUACGGAGGAUGCGAGCGUUAUCCGGAUUUAUUGGGUUUAAAGGGUGCGCAGGCGGUCUGUUAAGUCAGCGGUCAAAGCCCGGGGCUCAACCCCGGCCCGCCGUUGAAACUGGCAGUCUCGAGUUGGAGAGAAGUAUGCGGAAUGCGCGGUGUAGCGGUGAAAUGCAUAGAUAUCGCGCAGAACUCCGAUUGCGAAGGCAGCAUGCCGGCUCCACACUGACGCUGAGGCACGAAAGCGUGGGUAUCGAACAG